AGACAGUGAUGAGAAGGAUGAAGACGAGGCUGAGGAAGGUGGGAAACGUAAGACGCGAGCCAUCAAGGACCAAUCCAGUGAGGAGACCGGGCAGUCGUCUCUCGGCCUUUACGGGAUCUUCCAGCUGUCUGACGAGACCUUCUGUAAUUCUGGUUAUCGCUCCUCCAAUAACAAGUGCAACACAACCUGCGAUGCCUUCACUGAUGACAACAUUAUAGAUGACAUCGCUUGCUUCGUGAAGACUGAUCAGUGGAGGUUGUUUUUGAAGUCCGCCUCUGGUGAGUGCCAUUAUCGCACCAAGAACUACUUUGACGAGUUUAAAUGAGCAGCUGACGCGUUCUCCACCUGCUGCUGAAGCUCACACCUACAAUCAUUUCUUCUACUUUCAAUGUGACCUUUGACCCUCAUGGUUUCAUCUCAA